AGGGAAAAGGGAGAGUGGUAGUGAUAAGUUUAAAGAGCCAGUGAUAUGGAAGGAGUCUGAGAAAGAGAUUGAGAUGCAAAGCAAUAACUUGUUAUUCCAUCAGGUAAGGAGAAAACAAAACAGGAGAAGACGGUCUUCGAAGAUUUCGUACGGAAAGGGAGUUGCUUGUGUAUCAGGGGAACCGGGUAUUGGCAAAACGGAGCUUCUUCUCG
rnacentral:lncRNA from 1 species